rnacentral:rRNA from 1 species
UGGGGAAUAUUGCACAAUGGGCGCAAGCCUGAUGCAGCCAUGCCGCGUGUGUGAAGAAGGCCUUCGGGUUGUAAAGCACUUUCAGCGGGGAGGAAGGCGUUAAGGUUAAUAACCUUGGCGAUUGACGUUACCCGCAGAAGAAGCACCGGCUAACUCCGUGCCAGCAGCCGCGGUAAUACGGAGGGUGCAAGCGUUAAUCGGAAUUACUGGGCGUAAAGCGCACGCAGGCGGUCUGUCAAGUCGGAUGUGAAAUCCCCGGGCUCAACCUGGGAACUGCAUUCGAAACUGGCAGGCUAGAGUCUUGUAGAGGGGGGUAGAAUUCCAGGUGUGGCGGUGAAAUGCGUAGAGAUCUGGAGGAAUACCGGUGGCGAAGGCGGCCCCCUGGACAAAGACUGACGCUCAGGUGCGAAAGCGUGGGGAGCAAACAGG